AGUGUUGGAGAUCGAACUGUUCAGAUCCAUCAUGGAUGAACCACAAACAUCUGGAGAUAACUGUUCUUUUCCAGGACACAGCUCAGUUCAUCAGAAGAGAUCAGAAGCAGAGCCCAGCUGUGUGUCUAUGAAGAGUGAUGGUUUCUAUGAUUCAACCAGUGAAGUUUAACAGUGGAGAUACACAUCCUGAUCUCAGCUCAGUUCAUCAGAAGAGAUCAGAAGCAGAGUUCAGCUGGUUGUCUAUGAAGAGUGAUGUGUCUAUGGUUUUUCAAGAACAAUUCAAGAGUGGAGAUACAUGGCCUGAUCUCGG